GUGGGGAAUAUUGGACAAUGGGGGGAACCCUGAUCCAGCCAUGCCGCGUGUGUGAAGAAGGCCUUUUGGUUGUAAAGCACUUUAAGCGAGGAGGAGGCUACCGAGAUUAAUACUCUUGGAUAGUGGACGUUACUCGCAGAAUAAGCACCGGCUAACUCUGUGCCAGCAGCCGCGGUAAUACAGAGGGUGCAAGCGUUAAUCGGAUUUACUGGGCGUAAAGCGCGCGUAGGUGGCAAAUUAAGUCAAAUGUGAAAUCACCAAGCUUAACUUGGGAAUUGCAUUCGAUACUGGUAGUGUAGAGUAUGGGAGAGGAUGGUAGAAUUCCAGGAGUAGCAGUGAAAUGCGUAGAGAUCUGGAUGAAUACCGAUGGCGAAGGCAGCCAUCUGGCCUAAUAAUGACACUGAGGUGCGAAAGCAUGGGGAGCAAACAGGAUUAGAAACCCUGGUAGUCC
rnacentral:rRNA from 1 species